GACUGCAAUUGUUUGCUAUUUAGUCAGCAUGGUGAUUGAAAAUUGCAGUUUUAAUUGUAUACUGUUUUACAUGUAUUUAUACCACUAUAAAGAAGAUGAUUGCCGCAUUGAUGGCUGUGAAGAACAUUACGUAUGUCGGAUUUUGGACGGUCAAUAUACAUGCGUCUGUCAAAAUGACUACACAAGAACAAACUGUACAGAAAUAACAGGUCGGUAUCAUUUCCUUUCCCCUAAAACGAUAGUGAUGAGAUUAUCUAAAGUAACUAUUAAAUAAGAAAGAAAGAAACUAUUAGGAAAGUAACUAUUCAAAUUGCCCAUAAUUAUCAAGACAGUCCACCCAUCUCUCGUUGUUUGCUACAUAUAACUAUUCUAAACUGUAACAUGGUGUCGCAAAGACUUUUUGAAAUAUACGCAAAGAGCCUUUAGUCAAAAUCUCGCAUGGAACAAAAGCUCUAAAAGUUGUUGGAGCUUAAAUAUAUGCUGCUAUAUCUCACACCAAUUUUAAUAUUGGAUUGAGGUGAGGUGGAAUAAUAUGAAAGUAAAAGUCUGUACUGUUGACAAAAUAUUGUACACAGCAGUUUUUACUUAUUGGAAUAUUUAAAGCUAUUGCAUAUUAUGCAAUAAUUAUAUCGCAAUAUGCAAACUGUACUGAAUUCACUUCUAAGUACAGUUUGCUUAAUUUAGUCGAUUUCUCUUAUAUGCAAUAUGGCGAUGCCGAGAUAUAAAAAAUCUCAAAAUACUAAACGUGUUUUGAGAUUAGUCCGAUUGCCAUGUUUUCUUACAUAUUAACCCUAUCCAGACUGGGGGGUGGAGGCGCGGAAAGUGCCCGCGCUGAUUUUAAAAGUUAAUUUAUCCUAAACUAGUACAGGCUUUAUAUGUAGAAAAUCUAAUGAAAAAAUAUUACGCCAAAAAAGUUACACGUGAACAUCUACCAACAGUAAAUUUCAGC